UGCAGUCGGACGGGAUUGAGGAGCUUGCUUCUCAUGAGAGUGGCGCACGGGUGCGUAACACGUAUGUAACCUACCUUGUUCAGGGGGAUAGCCUCUCGAAAGAGAGAUUAACACCGCAUAAAAUCAAUUUAUGGCAUCAUAGAAUGAUCAAAUAUUUAUAGGAACAAGAUGGGCAUGCGGAACAUUAGCUAGUUGGUAAGGUAACGGCUUACCAAGGCUACGAUGUUUAGGGGAUCUGAGAGGAUGACCCCCCACACUGGUACUGAGACACGGACCAGACUCCUACGGGAGGCAGCAGUAAGGAAUAUUGGUCAAUGGACGCAAGUCUGAACCAGCCAUGCCGCGUGCAGGAAGACGGCCCUACGGGUUGUAAACUGCUUUUGUACCGGAAUAAACCUUUUCACGUGUGAGAAGCUGAAUGUACGGUAAGAAUAAGGAUCGGCUAACUCCGUGCCAGCAGCCGCGGUAAUACGGAGGAUCCAAGCGUUAUCCGGAUUUAUUGGGUUUAAAGGGUGCGUAGGUGGCCUAUUAAGUCAGGGGUGAAAGACGGUAGCUUAACUAUCGCAGUGCCUUUGAUACUGAUGGGCUUGAAUACACUUGAGGUAGGCGGAAUGUGACAAGUAGCGGUGAAAUGCAUAGAUAUGUCACAGAACACCAAUUGCGAAGGCAGCUCACUAAAGUGUUAUUGACACUGAGGCACGAAAGCGUGGGGAUCAAACAGGAUUAGAUACCCUGGUAGUCCACGCCCUAAACGAUGAAUACUCGAUGUUGGCGAUAUACGGUCAGCGUCUAAGCGAAAGCGUUAAGUAUUCCACCUGGGGAGUACGCCCGCAAGGGUGAAACUCAAAGGAAUUGACGGGGGCCCGCACAAGCGGA
rnacentral:rRNA from 1 species